UUUGAUCCUGGCUCAGGAUGAACGCUGGCGGUAUGCUUAACACAUGCAAGUCGAACGGAACCAUUCGUGGAAUCUGGCCUCAGGUCGGGGACAACCACUGGAAACGGUGGCUAGUACCGGAUGAGCCUACGGGUAAAAGAUUAAUUGCCUGGGGAAGAGCUCGCGUCUGAUUAGCUAGUUGGAGAGGUAAGAGCUCACCAAGGCGACGAUCAGUAGCUGGUCUGAGAGGAUGAUCAGCCACACUGGGACUGAGACACGGCCCAGACUCCUACGGGAGGCAGCAGUGGGGAAUUUUCCGCAAUGGGCGAAAGCCUGACGGAGCAAUACCGCGUGAGGGAGGAAGGCUCUUGGGUUGUAAACCUCUUUUCUCAAGGAAGAACAAAAUGACGGUACUUGAGGAAUAAGCAUCGGCUAACUCCGUGCCAGCAGCCGCGGUAAUACGGAGGAUGCAAGCGUUAUCCGGAAUGAUUGGGCGUAAAGCGUCCGCAGGUGGGUGUUCAAGUCUGCUGUCAAAGGUCGGGGCUUAACUCCGGAAAGGCAGUGGAAACUGAACAGCUAGAGUGCGGUAGGGGUAGAGGGAAUUCCCAGUGUAGCGGUGAAAUGCGUAGAGAUUGGGAAGAACACCGGUGGCGAAAGCGCUCUACUGGACCGCAACUGACACUCAGGGACGAAAGCUAGGGGAGCGAAUGGGAUUAGAUACCCCAGUAGUCCUAGCCGUAAACGAUGGAUACUAG
rnacentral:rRNA from 1 species